rnacentral:rRNA from 1 species
GGUGUAGGUGGCUUUAUAAGUCAGAUGUGAAAGCCCGGAGCUUAACUUCGGAAGUGCAUUUGAUACUGUAAAGCUUGAGUGCCAAAGAGGCUGUUAGAAUUCCUGGUGUAGUGGUGAAAUAUGUAGAUAUCAGGAGGAAUACCAGAGGCGAAAGCGGAUGGCUAGUUGGACACUGACACUCAAACCCGAAAGCGUGGGGAUCAAACA